rnacentral:rRNA from 1 species
AGUUUGAUCAUGGCUCAGAUUGAACGCUGGCGGCAUGCCUUACACAUGCAAGUCGAACGGCAGCACGGGAGCUUGCUCCUGGUGGCGAGUGGCGAACGGGUGAGUAAUAUAUCGGAACGUGCCCAAUCGUGGGGGAUAACGUAGCGAAAGUUACGCUAAUACCGCAUACGAUCUACGGAUGAAAGCGGGGGAUCGCAAGACCUCGCGCGAAUGGAGCGGCCGAUAUCAGAUUAGGUAGUUGGUGGGGUAAAGGCUCACCAAGCCAACGAUCUGUAGCUGGUCUGAGAGGACGACCAGCCACACUGGAACUGAGACACGGUCCAGACUCCUACGGGAGGCAGCAGUGGGGAAUUUUGGACAAUGGGCGCAAGCCUGAUCCAGCCAUUCCGCGUGCAGGAUGAAGGCCUUCGGGUUGUAAACUGCUUUUGUACGGAACGAAACGGUCUGCCCUAAUACGGCAGGCUAAUGACGGUACCGUAAGAAUAAGCACCGGCUAACUACGUG